rnacentral:rRNA from 1 species
AAGUCGUAACAAGGUUUCCGUAGGUGAACCUGCGGAAGGAUCAUUAACAAACUAGCCGUUCGAGCAGGGCAACCUGCUACGAUGUAAGACUACUAGUAACCCUUGAACAAACAUACCUUUGUUGCUUUGGCGGGCCGCCUCACGGCCAGCGGCCUCGGCUGCUGCGCGCCCGCCAGAGGACCCCAACUCUUGAACUUUUAGUGAUGUCUGAGUACUAUAUAAUAGUUAAAACUUUCAACAACGGAUCUCUUGGUUCUGGCAUCGAUGAAGAACGCAGCGAAAUGCGAUAAGUAAUGUGAAUUGCAGAAUUCAGUGAAUCAUCGAAUCUUUGAACGCACAUUGCGCCCUUUGGUAUUCCGAAGGGCAUGCCUGUUCGAGCGUCAUUAUAACCACUCACGCCCUCGCGUGGUCUUGGGGCACGCGGUCUCGCGGCCCCUAAAAUCAGUGGCGGUGCCUGUCGGCUCUACGCGUAGUAAUACUCCUCGCGAUUGAGUCCGGCGGGUGGCUUGCCAGCAACCCCCCAUUUUUUCAGGUUGACCUCGGAUCAGGUAGGGAUACCCGCUGAACUUAAGCAUAUCAAUAAGCGGAGGAAAAGAAACCAACAGGGAUUACCUCAGUAACGGCGAGUGAAGCGGUAACAGCUCAAAUUUGAAAGCUCGCUCUUUUAGGGUGCGCAUUGUAAUUUGUAGAAGAUGCUUCGGGUGUGGCCCCGGUCUAAGUUCCUUGGAACAGGACGUCAUAGAGGGUGAGAAUCCCGUAUGUGACUGGGUGCUUUCGCUCAUGUGAAGCUCUUUCGACGAGUCGAGUUGUUUGGGAAUGCAGCUCAAAAUGGGUGGUAAAUUUCAUCUAAAGCUAAAUAUUGGCCAGAGACCGAUAGCGCACAAGUAGAGUGAUCGAAAGAUGAAAAGCACUUUGGAAAGAGAGUUAAACAGUACGUGAAAUUGUUGAAAGGGAAGCGCUUGCAACCAGACUUGCGCGCUGGUGAUCAUCCGGGCUUCUGUCCGGUGCACUCGCCAGCGCUCAGGCCAGCAUCGGUUUCGGUGGUGGGAUAAAGGCCUUGGGAAUGUAGCUUCUUUCGGGGAGUGUUAUAGCCCUCGGUGCAAUGCCGCCUACCGGGACCGAGGACCGCGCUUCGGCUAGGAUGCUGGCGUAAUGGUUGUAAGCGACC